rnacentral:misc_RNA from 1 species
AAAAAAAAAAAAAAAAAAGGUUGACAGAGAAGUUGAUCAUGGCCCUCCUCAAAUUGUGAAAUUUUUUUUUUCUUGGUCACUUUUUUCUUAAACCAGUAUCUUAUUGGAAAUUUUACAUGUAUUUUUUAUUUUUUUGUUUAAAAUUGUCACAUUUUUGUUCUUCCUGCCGAGUGUGUUUAUUGUUCCUUUCCUUAUUCUUAUUAUUCCCUAUUAGAUGUGUCGUGGAGUUCUUUGGAUUU